UCAGGACGAACGCUGGCGGCGUGCCUAACACAUGCAAGUCGAGCGAGGAGAUCCUUCGGGAUGAUCCUAGCGGCGGACGGGUGAGUAACACGUGGGCAACCUGCCUCAUAGAGAGGAAUAGCCUUCCGAAAGGGAGAUUAAUACCUCAUAACAUUGCAGUUUCGCAUGGAACAGCAAUUAAAGGAGUAAUCCGCUAUGAGAUGGGGCCCCGCGGCGCAUUAGCUAGUUGGUGAGGUAACGGCUCACCAAGGCGACGAUGCGUAGCCGACCUGAGGGGGUGAUCGGCCACAUUGGGACUGAGACACGGCCCAGACUCCUACGGGAGGCAGCAGUGGGGAAUAUUGCACAAUGGGGGAAACCCUGAUGCAGCCAACGCCGCGUGAGUGAUGACGGCCUUCGGGUUGUAAAGCUCUGUCUUCAGGGACGAUAAUGACGGUACCUGAGGAGGAAGCCACGGCUAACUACGUGCCAGCAGCUGC
rnacentral:rRNA from 1 species